CCUUUUGAGCCUUAGUAUCAGGAUCUAUAUCAAUUUUGAACUAUGUGAUUUUUCCUUUGGAUGCAAAGAGUAGCUUAUCAUUGAUUUUUUAUUGGAUUCUGAGAUUUUUUCUUGAACCCUCAACCAUAAAUUGUGGUUUGAAUUUUUACCGUUGCCUUAAAAAGUUUGGAAGCAUUCACAUUACAAUGUUUGGUUGUAUUAAAGUUGGGGAGAAAAGGUUGGUUAAAAAGAGGUUGAGAAAGAAAAAGAAAAAAAUUUGGAAAAAGAAAGAGAA
rnacentral:lncRNA from 1 species